UACGGAGGGUGCGAGCGUUAAUCGGAAUUACUGGGCGUAAAGCGUGCGUAGGUGGUUCGUUAAGUCAGAUGUGAAAGCCCUGGGCUCAACCUGGGAACUGCAUUUGAAACUGGCGGACUAGAGUUUAGUAGAGGGGAGUGGAAUUUCAGGUGUAGCGGUGAAAUGCGUAGAUAUCUGAAGGAACACCAGUGGCGAAGGCGACUCCCUGGACUAAAACUGACGCUGAGGUACGAAAGCGUGGGUAGCAAACAGG
rnacentral:rRNA from 1 species